rnacentral:misc_RNA from 1 species
GAUGAAGAACGCAGCGAAAUGCGAUAAGUAAUGUGAAUUGCAGAAUUCAGUGAAUCAUCGAAUCUUUGAACGCACAUUGCGCCCGCCAGCAUUCUGGCGGGCAUGCCUGUUCGAGCGUCAUUUCAACCCUCGAGCCCCCCCGGGGGCCUCGGUGUUGGGGGACGGCACACCAGCCGCCCCCGAAAUGCAGUGGCGACCUCGCCGCAGCCUCCCCUGCGUAGUAGCACACACCUCGCACCGGAGCGCGGAGACGGUCACGCCGUAAAACGCCCAACUUCUUAGAGUUGACCUCGGAUCAGGUAGGAAUACCCGCUGAACUUAAGCAUUCAAUAAGCGGAGGA